rnacentral:rRNA from 1 species
ACAGGGGGAUAACAGCUGGAAACGGCUGCUAAUACCGCAUAAGCGCACGAAGAGACAUCUCCUAGUGUGAAAAACUCCGGUGGUACAGGAUGGGCCCGCGUCUGAUUAGCUGGUUGGCAGGGUAACGGCCUACCAAGGCAACGAUCAGUAGCCGGUCUGAGAGGAUGAACGGCCACAUUGGAACUGAGACACGGUCCAAACUCCUACGGGAGGCAGCAGUGGGGAAUAUUGCACAAUGGGGGAAACCCUGAUGCAGCAACGCCGCGUGAGUGAAGAAGUAUUUCGGUAUGUAAAGCUCUAUCAGCAGGGAAGAUAAUGACGGUACCUGACUAAGAAGCUCCGGCUAAAUACGUGCCAGCAGCCGCGGUAAUACGUAUGGAGCAAGCGUUAUCCGGAUUUACUGGGUGUAAAGGGUGCGUAGGUGGCAGUGCAAGUCAGAUGUGAAAGGCCGGGGCUCAACCCCGGAGCUGCAUUUGAAACUGCAUAGCUGGAGUACAGGAGAGGCAGGCGGAAUUCCUAGUGCAGCGGUGAAAUGCGUAGAUAUUAGGAGGAACACCAGUGGCGAAGGCGGCCUGCUGGACUGUUACUGACACUGAGGCACGAAAGCGUGGGGAGCAAACAGGAUUAGAUGCCCUGGUAGUCCACGCCGUAAACGA